rnacentral:tRNA from 1 species
GUUUAAGUAGCUUAUAAUUAAAGCAUAAUAUUGAAGCUAUUAGUAAAGAGAAAACUCUCAUAAACA